UUUUUUUUUUUUUUUGGAAGUUAUCCUUAUGUCAGAAAUAGUUUAAUCUCUCCGUGUAAAGAACAGGCAAGCUUUUCACAGCUAUGUUGUUGCCCCUCACUCCCCCUGCCGCCCCAUACCCCACUGUAAUGUAUAUAGUAUGUAGUUCUACUUUCCUGUAGCCCAUGCUUUAAUUAUAUUCAGUUUGCAAAAAUGUUAAAAUUUUAUUCACAAUGAAUGGUCUAAUCUAUUCAAAGGAACUGAUGUUAAUAUGAAAUCACUAAAAUCACAUUUUAUUCUGCGCCACCCACGGAUCCCAUAUAAAUGGUUUAAAGAAAAGUAUUAUCAAGGAUUGUGAAGAUCAAGAAUAUAACUUAAGGAUCCCUGGGUGGCGCAGCAGUUUAGCGCCUGCCUUUGGCCCAGGGCGCGAUCCUGGAGACCCGGGAUCGAAUCCCACGUCGGGCUCUCGGUGCAUGGAGCCUGCUCCUCCCUCUGCCUAUCUCUGCCUCUCUCUCUCUGUGUGUGUGUGACUAUCGUAAAAAAAAAAAAAAAAAAAAGAAUAUAACUUCAGAGAUGCCUGAGUGGCUCAGGGGUUGAGCUUCUGCCCUUGGCUCAGGUUGUGAUCCUAGGGUCAUGGGAUCAAGUGCCGCAUCAGACUUCUCGCAGGGAGCCUGCUUCUCCUUUUGCCUAUGUCUCUUCCUCUCUCUCUCUCUGUCUCUCAUGAAUAAAUAAAUAAAAUCUUUUAAAAUAUAUAUAUAUAUAUAUAUAACUUAAUCUAAAAACCCAAGGUUUUACUGUGAUGUAUCCAAUUGUACCUGUGUUGGAUGUUACCACUUCUUACUGCUGGAAAGGGCCUUUUAUGUUUGUUCAGUGUAAACACUAAUCCUUAUAGCAAAUCCUUCAGGUUAAUAAUGCCAAGUGUACACGAGGACAAAAUUAUAUUUAUACCAUGUAAUACUCCAGAGGGAUUAUGUAUUGAGCAGGAGUUAUAGAGAAAAUGAGAGAUUUGACAAGGCUGAAAAGACCAGAGUCUAAUUUCUGAAAGUGGAGGUCAGAAAGUAGAACUAACUAGCACUAGAGAGUAUUAGGAAGGAGAUUUCAGUUUAGAGCAGUUUCAGACUCAACUCAGUGUGGUAUGCUUAAAGAGCCAAUCAGGAGAAAAACAAAACAAAAAUCUUUGCUUCUUUAUAUGGACUUAGGGAGGUGUUCCAGGAAAAAAAAAAAUUGUUAAAAGUCAUACAGGAUGGAGGAGGACUUCUGAUUCAAGAGUACUUCUGUUUCUCUGUUUCUGCCACCAAUUUUUGGACAACUACUUUCUCUGUUACUACACUGUCAAAAAUUCCCAAAUGACAAGUACAACUUCAGUUGACUUUAUUUUUUUACUGAAUAAGUGUAACUUUUUUCCCCUGAGUGUAAGAAAGAAGAAAAUUAUGCAGAUAGAAGACCUUUUACCAUGGUUUUAAAAGAAAAUGGGCAAUAUUUCUUAUUGUGGUCAGUUGAUGAUGGUGAAAUGAGGAAGAGGAGGUGGGCAAGGACGAGAAUGAUGAUGAUAAAGACAUUUUGAAGUUUAAUGGCAGGUAGGGGAAGGAAGUUGGUGGGAGUAGUGGAAAGACUACUAAGCCAAGUAUUGUAACGUGAUUUUUAGGUCUGGGUUGUUCCCUACUUCUUUAGCCAAACAUAUGACUCUGAAUUCAUACUGAUUUUAGUUUCUUUAUCAGAAGGAAAGAAGUAAACUAUAUGAUCUCUUGUCCUAAUGCCUCCAAAUCUGUCAUUAAAAUAGCAAAUAUCUAUGCUAACACUAAUAAAAUAGCCAGAACAGUAUCAAGCAUAUGAAAAACAGUAUAUAGAAUAAGGUGUCGUUUUAUAAUUAAAUUUAUGCUUAAUUAGAAUUGGUUUAUGUAACACAUUUUUUCCAGAACCUCUGUACCUCAGAAAGGGUUGCAAAGAAAAGGCAGAAUGCAUAGCACAUCAUAUUGCCACAUAAAGGCUAACAAUUAGACAUAAACCCAGACAAAAUCACAAGGAGAGCCAUAAAUAAAAGAGAGUCUUAAUGUGAUUUAAAUACCGUGACUGAGUUGCAUUCAGUGUCAGCCUGGUCACCAAGUCCAAUGCGACAUCAUCCUCUAUAGAGAUGUAUUCUAGCAAAAGACUUCUGCAUCCGCCAUCUGGCCCCUGACUCAGGGAGCACAUCUCACUGAAUGACACAUAACCCAGUGGGAUGCACCGAAUUUGCUUAAACAUGAGCACAUCCUCUUCUCAUAACAAAGGCUGAAUAUGACCCUAAUUUUAUAUUCUAUAAACUGUGUUGUGGAAAUUAUUAAAACAAGUCUUCUGGGGAGGCCUGUAAACAUUUACUGGUCUUGUUUUCUUUGUCACAGUCACAAUUUCAAGAAAUACUGUAAAUUCCAGUUAAAUUGAGAAGUGAAUUAGAUGGGCUUUAAUGUAAAACUCCAUUCUUUCUGUGGUAAAAUAUAGAUGUAAAAAAGAACUAAACUGUGACUAGACAGUCUGACCUUACUAACACAAGAGUGUGAGCAUAGUUCCAAAAAUUAGAGUUUCUUUUCUCUGUCACAACCUUCAGGGAAGUAUGUCAAUGAGCUGUACUCAAGAGGAAUUUCUCUGAGGUUCUGAUUUUUUAGUUUUUACCUUAAACUGAUUUCAGGCAUGUUCCAGCAUAAAGGCAACCAUAUCCAGUAUAUCUUGUCUCUAAGAGUCUGCUGGGCUUCUUUUACUCUAUUUAGAAUUAUUUUACACUUUAGAAGGAAGAGUAUAAUUUAUCUAAAUGGAAAGUAUUUUUCCUUUUAGUACAUCUUUGGCAUGCCUAAGAGUGUUAAAUAUUUUAUUGGCUUUUGGGAGGGAAGGAUACUGUUUUAUAUAGUCUUUUCUCUAUUUUUGAAAAGCACCCCAAACCUACAGAUCCCAAGUUAAUACUGGAGACUUUUUUAUGGUUUGUUGUACUCUUUCUGAUAAAGAUAAAUGCUAAGAAAGAGACAGUUUGUGGAAAUAGAGAAAAAAUUUAAAAUAACCAUUUUUCUUUACCAGGUUGUAUAAAACUAUAAUGCUUUGUUGAAAUAAUAUGAGAGGGCAGCCUGGGUGGCUCAGCGGUUUAGCGCCGCCUUCAGCCCAGGGUGUGAUCCUGGAGACCCCGGAUCGAGUCCCAUGUCAGGCUCCUUGCAGGGAGCCUGCUUCUCCCUCUACCUAUGUCUCUGCCUCUCUCUCUGUGUCUUUGAAGAAAAAGUUGUGCAGAGUGUUGAAUCACUUUGUUGUACACCUGAAACUAAUAUUACUCUAUAUGUGAAUUAACUGGAAUUUUUUUGAAGAUUUUAAUUAUUAGAGAGAGAGUGAAAGCACAAAUGGGAAGAGGGGCAGACAGAGAAGGAGAAGCAGCCUCCGACUUGGGGCUCAAUCCCAGGACCCUGAGAUCAUGACCCAAGCCAAAGCAGACACUUAACUAACUGAACCACCCAGGCACCCCAAUUAACUAGGAUUUAAAUAAAAACUUUUUUAAAAGUUCAAAAUGAGGGGAUCCCUGGGUGGCUCAGCAGUUUAGCACCUGCCUUUGACCCAGGGCGCGAUCCUCGGGUCCCGGGAUCGAGUCCCGCAUCGGGUUCCCGGCGUGGAGCCUGCUUCUCCCUCCUCCUGUGUCUCUGCCUCUCUCUCUCUCUCUCUCUCUCUAUCAUGAAUAAAUAAAUAAAUAAAUCUUUAAAAAAAAAGUUCAAAAUGAUAUGAAGAAAUAUUAAUAAAUACCAAUGGUAAUUUCAUGUAAGCUGUUAAUUAGAAAGUAAAGGGGUGCCUGGGUGGUGCAGUUGGUUAAUUAAACAGCCAGUGCUUGGUUUCAGCUCAAGUCAUGAUCUCAGGGUUAUGGGAUCAAGCCCACAUCAGACUCCCAUGUUCAUCGUGGAAUCUGCUUAGGAUUCUCUCUCACUCCCCCUUGCUCCCUAAAACACACACACACACACACAUAUAUAUAUUUUUUUUUUAAGUAGAGAAAAAAUGGAGCAUGUGAAUAAUAAGGUAAGAAAUAAUAUGAAAUUCUGGGGAAAGCCUAGUUAUGCUGGACUUCUCUAGAGCUACAGCAUUAUGAAGCCAAAUGAUAGUGAAUGAAGCCUGCAAGAGAGCAUCAUAAUGCUGAGAUUGUCAGAUGCCAGUCACAUGGACUUGCUAACCAGGAAAACCACUGAAAUUAGUAUGGGGGAAGAAAUCUUAAUUUAUAAACUCAUUUAAAAAUAAAAGCAGUGGACUUGGAUAAUAGCAGUUUUCAUUUUUUAAGAAUAGGGCCUAUUCAGCCGGUCUAAUACCAGGCUUCUGUCUUGAAUGUACACUCCACCUGAAUAUUAAGGGCCAUUAUAUGAAAGAUGUGGACCAGCUGUUCUCUUUCUCCCCUGAGUUCCAAACAAUAAAAAAUAGGCAUAAGCUUUAGUGUGAGGAUUUGGGCAAAGAAUGAGAAAGAAUAUUGUGAAUUUAAGUACAUUACUUGAGUGAAUUUUAUUCUAUGGAAGCCUUUUAAAAAGUCAUUACAAUCACUCGAAACCCUUGUAGUUUGUCUGUGACAUAAAUAGGUACCCCUGCAAUAAGAGUUGUGAAUAAUUACGUAAGAAUUAGAAUGUUUUUGAGUUGGGGAGUAAUUAGCCCAAACACCAAAUAAUGCAAGAGAGAAGCAUGGAAAUACAUAACCACAUAAGAAUUAGAAUGUUUUUGAGUUGGGGAGUAAUUAGCCCAAACACCAUAUAAUGCAAGAGAGAAGCAUGGAAAUACAUAACCACAAAAAUGAGAGAGACAUGUAUAGAUCAACAUAAUGACAGCAUCUAGCUAAUUAAACUCUCUGGAAUGUUCUCCUUUUGGAAAGCAAGAAAUCUUCGUUUUUAGAAUUGUGAGUUGACAUAGUUUUGAAUUGAGUUGGAUUCUCAUUGGCAUCUAUGAUCUAUGUAUACAGUUUCUGGAACAGCCUUUCCUGUAGAAAAUUUUCAAACAAACAUUUGGCAUCAGUGGAGUAUUUUUUAUCACACUGUCAGUGUUUUUCAUAGUACAGCCUUUGACUUCCAGAAGGUUCAAGCUGUCUUAGAAGCUCUGAGAACCCUAGGGUAUUAGAUGAAUGCCAGAUAUAUUACACUGAGGGCUUGGAUCCUGGGGAACUAGAAUUCUGAGAACUAGGAUGCCUGAUUGAGAUUGAACUGUCUGUUUAUGCUGGCAUAGACACAGGAAGAUGCUGAUAGCAUUUUAGACUGGAAUUAUUUUACUUCAUUCAAACAACCCUUUAAGAGCCACCUUCUUUUGUACCUGUAAAAUCAUAUAUUCACCAGAAGGAUAAUAUGUUCAAGAUUUAGUUCUGUGCAAUGGUGUGCUAGUAAGUGUUUUAAUAUCUGGGUUUCCAGCCAAGGAGUGUAUGUUUUGGGAGGUGGAGUAGAAAUAGGGAGUGGUAAGCAGGUGUCUGAUUUGUAGCAUUUGCCAAUUUCUGUGAUGUAAAUGCUUCCACCAUGGGCAGUUGCAAGCUACCAAAAUGACAUCACUGAACCACAGUUGGGAAGAGGUGUACAAUUGCUUCUGACACAUGAGUGGUCCUAUGUCAGGUUUACAUAAAACAACAAAAUCCAGAAACCUCACUCUGUGUCAUUCAGUGACAGCUACCACCUAAUGAUUAUGAAAUAGAACUUCUCACUCCCACCUGUGGCAGAUGCUCUAAAGUGUGCCUAACAAACACAUGGAUGGAGAAAGGCUUUCUUUCUUUCUCCAUCUGAGAGCUGUGAUUUUUAAAUCCUACUAAAAACUUUUAUUAUUUAACAGAAGAUUCCCCCAUGAUACUGAUCUUUGUACUAAUGUCACCCAGUCCUUUAUAUGUUCUAAUUGCUAUAAACAGCAAAUAAAAUGUUUAUAGGUCAACAGAACUGGUUCUUGGAAAUAGUAAGUACAACUUUCAGAAUGGAAAAAUUAUUUGGAGGCAUGUUUUCAGUAUUUUUAGUGGAUUUUAGUGUUUUUGGUGUUAAAAAGACUGAUAAUACACUGAGAAACAGUAUUUACCCUUAGUAAAAGCUUGCCUGGAAACACAUUUCAUAGCUCAAGAAUUUCUCUAUUUGCUUAUUUUUAGAAACAGUAGAACUAUUAUAUUAACAUGUCAGUUUAUGGCCACCACCUCCUUUCUUCAUUCCCAGACCUGCACAUAUUUUGUAACCUCAGGAUACAUUUAUCUUGUAUCUUUAGUCUCUGUAAAAGACUGUGUAAAACAAAAUGGCAUUAACUUCCCCAGUGCCAGAGUUCCCAGAUACCUCAGGUUCCUGACCAUAAAAUAAAUCUUGGGUACAGGCUGGAAAAUCUAGUUGCUUUAACAUUUACUCAGUUUCUGCUCUUUGUAUUUAAAAGACAAAAACCAUUUUGCAAAAACCUUCCUGGACCUUCAGAGAGAAAGCAAAUGGAUUCUUAGGGACACAUCCAUUCUGAUCAUGGUAUGGUUAAUAAGUUCAUUCUAAACUACGGAUAAUGUUCAGAAUAACACUUAUAUUGCUAUUUACAAUGAACUUUCUCAUGGAUGUCCUUCCUAUUACACAGAACUGAUUAACAUUGGUAACGUGAAGUGUCACUGUCCGGCCUCAGAGCCCCUGCCAGUAAUUAAUACGCAUUUAUUCAAUAAGUGGGUGAUAGGUGCUUUCUGUGGUGAACCAUUAUGGAGUGUGUCCAAAUGAAUUAAGACUAGUCCAUUAGUAUUUGACUUAAGCUGGCCAGGGGUUAGAAAUGCUUACACAUUUUUAUACUAUAUGAAAUUCUUAUUUAAACUCAAAUAGGUCAUUACCAUGGUCCUAAUAAAAUUUUUACUGUUAGAUUGGUUUGUUUGUUUCUCUUUUUAGCUAAUGGUUUAAUGUAAAUAAUAAUCAUAGUUGAUGAAUACAUCAAUAAGUCAAUGAAUUUCAUUUACCACACAUCUAAGGUCAUUCUCAAGAUUUACUUCUUCACUGAAUUUUCCCUGACAGUAAUACUUAAUGACAGUGUGACCCUAAUCUUAAUUACUGUGAGUUAGCACAGCUAUUCUGCAUUGCUGUUGGCUAAUGAAUCAGAUUCAUUGGCUGGUUCUGACAAGGCUGACAUAACAUGUCACUGACAAAGUGACAGAGUAGAAGAAGACAGGAAGAAGGAAGAAGCAUGCAGAGGAAAGCAAACUUGAAUCAAUAUACUAAGACACACUAACAUCACAACCUGUGCUCAAAGAAGAAAUGAAAAAACAGAGGUCCUCCUGGUCAUUUGCCUUAACAUCACAUUUUUAUUCUCCUCUGAUAUUAAAAAAAUUAGUAGCAGAAUGACAUCUCUGAAACUCAUUUUUAAAUUGUAUUUUGGGAGAGAAUGAAGUAAGUUGCAUGGUGUGAAGAAGAGAUGAUGGAGCUCUUAAUAAAAAUUAAAUACUGAGUUGGGAUGGACCAGGAGGAAAGCAUCAGAAGGUGAGUAGAAAUACAGAAGUAGAGUAUUUCCACCAAGUAGCAAUCCAUUUAUCUAAGAAGAAAACACCACCUCUUAUUAAAAUAUAAUUAGAUAGAAUGAUGUGAAAUUGCUGAUAUUCACCCAUUUUUGACCUACAAAAAUGGUCAUGGAGUGAUUUAACUGAAUAGAACUAUAAACUAUUGGAACCAAGCUAAAUUCAUAAAAUACAUAACACACUAAACCAUCCCAUGGGAACUAGAGGAACAAUAAUCUAGAAAUCUUUUUAAUGCAAUAAUAAACUACUUAGCCUCAAAUAUCUAUGGACUUUAAUCCAAAAUACUCUCCAUAUGCUUGAAGAUCAUUUGAGAAAACUGUAUGUUUGCAAGGUUUUUUUGGAAAGGGAGUAAACUAGUUAAGCAGUCAUUUUCUAUUAGCUCCAAAGGAAUGUAAUACCAGUGUUUUUUAUUUUAAGAAUCUGGAGCAUGCUAACUAUAGAAAAGAUCAAGAACAGUCACAUGCUGGUGAGUAUUAGCUAGUCUUUCUGCACUGAUGGUUCAAAACCUCUUCAGCUGUAGUCUCUCACCCACAGUAUAACUGACCUGUGUUGCUAUUCACAGGUCCUCCACCGCCCUAUAGCAGGAGAGUCAAUGGGUAUCUGCAAGCAAGCAUUUGGGCCUGGCUGUGCCUGCCCUGGCCCACCUCCUGAGCAUAAGUGGGAUGUGGACUCUGAGGAGAAUUACCAGCAUGUUAUUCCUGCCACUUCUCAUCCAUGGUUUCUGGGUUGAGACCAGCUUGCUGUGUUUGCUAACAGAUCUUAAAAUAUAUAUAACAUGGAAUAUCAUCUAACCUUAAAAAGGAGAUCCUGCCUGCAACAACAUGGAUGAACCUGGAAGAUACUGUGCCAAGUGAAAUAAGCCAGACAAAGAAAAAUACCGCAUGGUCUUAUUACAUGCAGAACCUAAAAAAGGUUGGAUACAUAGAUGUAGAAAGUAGAAUGAUGGUUACAAGUGGGGAAAAUGGGGAGAGGGUGGUCAAAGGGUACAAAAUUGGAGUCCUAUAGGACAAAUAAGUCUGGAAAGCUAAUGUACAACAUGAUGACCUUAGCUAGUAAUACUGUAUUGAAUACUGGAAAUUUGCUCAGAAAAUAGAUUUCAGGCGCUCUGACCACAGAGAUAACAAUAUGAGGAGAUGGUUACGUUAAUUCACUUGACUACUAAUCAUGUCACUGUAUAUCAAAACACCAAGUUGUACACUUUAAAUAUAUACAGUUUUUAUUAAAUAAAUGACAAAACCAUAACAUUGGUUUUAGACUUGAAACUGAUUUCAGCAGGACUCAGUAGGAGAAUAUUUGGCCCUCCUGGUUAACUAGGACUGCUCAAUGGCGAAUCUGCUGAAAACUCAUUCACUAAGAUGUCUGGUGGUUAAUACCUGCUGUUGGCUUGGACUUUAGCUGGGCUGUUGUCUUAAACAUCAUCAUGUAGCCUCUCCGUAUGUUUUGGGCAUUCUUCCAAAAUGAUGGUUGUCACCAUUUAUCACUCAUUCCAAGAAUAAGUGUCUCAACAAAGCUGGGUGGAAACCUUUUCUUACUCUGCAGCUUAGUAGUAGCCUGAAAAUAAUAGCCCACAUUAUAGGUACCUCAGGCAGCAGAGUGGACUCCAUUCACAUAGAAUUAUCAUUUGAACUAUCUGGUGGCUUUAUAGAUAAACAAGCUUUACCUAUAUAACCUGACUCAGAACUCAUCCAGUGCUACAACUGCCACACAGAUGGUGUUUGUUGAAGUAUUUACAGGUAGAUAUUUUAUUUGCUGCUGCAAGGGGUGAUAACAGCUGGAGCAAACAAUACUUUGAUGAAAAAGCUUGGGAGAAAAGACUGGGGAAUGCAGUGGCGAUACAGGCUUUGGAAAACUCUUGAUAUGGAAAUCUAGAAGACCACACACAUGCAUAGGGCUGUAUGCAUGCUCAGGAAGACCCAAAAAGACCCUAAGCUAUCACCUCCAGCAGAACUUGAGGCUCUGCACAAGCAGAAAAUGAAAGCUAAUGUAAAGCUAUAAACUGCCUGAUUGUGUGCCAUAGGUAUGCCUCAACACACAAAACCCCUUGGGAAAAGCCAGUAUUCUGUAGGUUCCAGGCAUUUUAGCUAAUGCAUUUUAGCCAGUAUUCUGUAGGUUCCAGGCAUUUAGCUAAUUCCAGGCAGGUCAGCUAAUAAUUGCAUCUCUCUAUGCAAUUAUUAGCUGACCAGUAAGCCAACCAAGCAGAAACUGCAGUGGCCUCACAUAGAAAAGGAUAUAUAGUUUUACAGGAUUAGUUCAGAAGAGUCACUAAGCAGACCCUAAGGAGAGAAACCAAUUUCCAGACUUGACACAUUAUAAUAGUCAAUAUUUGACUAGUAAUAUUUUGACUAGUAAUAUUACUAGUCAUUUACUAGUAAUUGACUAGUAAUAUUUUCUAUUUUCUAUUGACUAUAAUAUUUUCUAUUGACUAGUUUUCUAAAAACAAAAAUGAGCCAUGCUAUGACUCCUCAAAAAAAAAAAAAA
rnacentral:lncRNA from 1 species